CCUACGGGAGGCAGCAGUGGGGAAUAUUGGACAAUGGGCGGAAGCCUGAUCCAGCAACGCCGCGUGAGGGAUGACGGCCUUCGGGUUGUAAACCUCUUUCAGUACCGACGAAGCGAAAGUGACGGUAGGUACAGAAGAAGCACCGGCCAACUACGUGCCAGCAGCCGCGGUAAUACGUAGGGUGCGAGCGUUGUCCGGAAUUAUUGGGCGUAAAGGGCUCGUAGGCGGUUUGUCGCGUCGGGAGUGAAAACACUGGGCUUAACUCAGUGCUUGCUUUCGAUACGGGCAGACUAGAGGUAUGCAGGGGAGAACGGAAUUCCUGGUGUAGCGGUGAAAUGCGCAGAUAUCAGGAGGAACACCGGUGGCGAAGGCGGUUCUCUGGGCAUUACCUGACGCUGAGGAGCGAAAGUGUGGGGAGCGAACAGGAUUAGAUACCCUGGUAGUCCACACCGUAAACGUUGGGCGCUAGGUGUGGGGUCCAUUCCACGGAUUCCGUGCCGCAGCUACGCAUAGCGCCCGCCGUCGGGAGGUACGGCCGCGACGACGUAAACUACAAUAGAAGUAGUACGGCGUGAGACGNGCCGACGACGACGACGAGGGAGUAGG
rnacentral:rRNA from 1 species